GGUCACGAGUUCCAGCGUCAAGCCCCGGCUUGCUGGACGGCAUCCCGCCCGCUACGGGUGCCCCGGGUGACGACCGGCCCCGUGCGCGGUGCACGGGGAACCGCGGAUC
rnacentral:ncRNA from 2 species